rnacentral:rRNA from 1 species
GACGAACGCUGGCGGCGUGCUUAACACAUGCAAGUCGAACGGAAAGGCCCUGCUUGCAGGGUACUCGAGUGGCGAACGGGUGAGUAACACGUGGGUGAUCUGCCCUGCACUUCGGGAUAAGCCUGGGAAACUGGGUCUAAUACCGGCUAGGAGCCAUUUUUAGUGUGAUGGUUGGAAAGUUUUUUCGGUGUAGGAUGAGCUCGCGGCCUAUCAGCUUGUUGGUGGGGUAAUGGCCUACCAAGGCGGCGACGGGUAGCCGGCCUGAGAGGGUGGACGGCCACAUUGGGAAUGAGAUACGGCCCAGAAUCCUACGGGAGGAAGCAGUGGGGAAUGUUGCACAAUGGGCGCAAGCCUGAUGCAACGACGCCGCGUGGGGGAUGACUGCCUUCGGGUUGUAAACUCCUUUCGCGAGGGACGAAGCUUUUUGUGACGGUACCUAGAUAAGAAGCACCGGCUAACUACGUG